GAACUUAAAGGAAUUGACGGGGGCCCGCACAAGCGGAGAGCAUGUGGUUUAAUUCGAUGAUACGCAGGACCUACUGGGCUCGAACGUAAGAUGACUGUAGGUGAAAGCUUACAUCUCUUCGGAGCAUUUUACGAGGUGCUGCAUGGUUGUCGUCAGCUCGUGCCGUGAGGUGUCGGGUUAAGUCCCAUAACGAGCGCAACCCCUACCUUUAGUUGCCAUCAGGUAAUGCUGGGGACUCUAAAGGAACUGCCUACGCAAGUAGUGAGGAAGGCGGGGAUGACGUCAAAUCAGCACGGCCCUUACGUCCAGGGCUACACACGUGCUACAAUGGCCGAUACAGAGGGCAGCUACCUGGUGACAGGAUGCAAAUCUCCAAAGUCGGUCUCAGUUCGGAUCGGAGUCUGCAACCCGACUCCGUGAAGUUGGAUUCGCUAGUAAUCGCGCAUCAGCCAUGGCGCGGUGAAUACGUUCCCGGGCCUU
rnacentral:rRNA from 1 species